GCAAUCUUGUAUAGCACAGUCCUGCCUGUCUGCACCAUGGCCUGGGCUCCUCUCCUGCUCACACUUCUGGCUCACAUCACAGGGGCCGAAUCCUAGGCUGUGGUGACUUAGGAAUCUUCACUGUACAUCUCUCCUGGAGGGACAGUUACACUCACCUGUGCUUCCAGUACUGGGCCUGUCACAACCAGUAACUAUGCUACCUGGGU
rnacentral:lncRNA from 1 species